rnacentral:rRNA from 1 species
UACAGGGGGUGCAAACGUUGCUCGGAAUCAUUGGGCGUAAAGCGCACGUAGGCGGUUCGUUAUGUCGGAUGUGAAAGCCCUUGGCUUAACCGAGGAAGUGCAUCCGAAACUGGCGAGCUAGAGUACUAAAGAGGAUCGCGGAAUUCCCGGUGUAGAGGUGAAAUUCGUAGAUAUCGGGAGGAACACCGGUGGCGAAAGCGGCGAUCUGGGUAGAUACUGACGCUGAGACGCGAAAGCGUGGGGAGCGAACAGG